UUUUUGGAAAUUGUGGGAGAAAAGGGAGGGACACGCCAAAACCCUAAUUAAUUUGGAGAAAAAGCCAACCCGCUUAAAUUCCAUAAAAACAAGAGUUUGAGAAUUGUAGGAAAAAAAGAGGGAAGCCAAACCCUUAUUUAUUUGGGGGGAAACGGCCAAACACUAAAUUCUACAAACAUUUUCUUUUAAAUAAAAAAUAAUAUUGUUUCAUUUGAGGAAAAGAGCCAAAACCCCAAACAUUAUCAGACAUUAAUAUUUACAAUCUGGAAAAUUAAUUUGAAUGAUCCGACAGUCAUUUUUUUUUUUUUAUAUAUCUCGAGAUCACAUGUGCCAAAAAUCGCAAAAAAUUGACAUUCAGAUAUUAGGUGAUGGGACGAAACCUUUCAACGGUUAUAAAAGAAAACUCACGAUUUAACGGUUAUUUUAACUUCGAUUUUGCUGAUUUUUUACAACUACACUCCUCAACCCUAUAAGAGUACAAUGAACAAAUUCGAUCUUUAAUUUAAAAUAUUUGCACUAGUGGAUACCACAAAAUAUUAUGUUCUACUUAAUAGAAGUAUAAAAUAAACUCCAAGUGUUUGGUGAAUCUAUCGUUUUCAAAGAAUACACAUUCUACAAAAUUAGUUUCAACGAUCUAACCAACAAACUUGUUUGUAUAUGCUCCAAGAUCGCAUACGUAAAAAAUCGCAAAAAAAUGACAUUCAGAUAUUAGGUAACAGGACAAAACUUUUCAACGGUUAUAAAUGAAAACUCACGAUUUAACGGUUAUUUUAAUUCCGAUUUUGUUGAUUUUUUACAGCUACACUCCUCAACCCUAUAAGAGUACGAUGAACAAAUUCGAUCUUCAAUUUAAAAUAUUUGCACUAGUGGAUACCAUAAAAUAUUAUGUUCUACUUAAUGGAAGUAUAAAAUAAACUCCAUGUGUUUGGUGAAUCUAUCAUUUUGAAGGGAAUACACAUUCUACAAAACUGGUUUCAACGAUUCAAUCAUCAGACUUGUUUGUAUAUGCUCCAAGAUCGCAUACGUAAAAAAUCACAAAAAACAGACAUUCAGAUAUUAGGUAACGGGACAAAACAUUUCGAUGGUUAUAAACGAAAACUCACGAUUUAACGGUUAUUUUAACUCCGAUUUUGCUGAUUUUUUACAGCUACACUCCUCAACCCUAUAAGAGUACGAUGAACAAAUUUGAUCUUCAAUUUAAAAUAUUUGCACUAGUCGAUACCACAAAAUAUUAUGUUCUACUUAAUGGAAGUGAUAUGGUUAUACUUUAUUCAAUGUCCGUGACAAAUGUUAUGAGUUAACAAGGGCAAACAAAUUAUUUAUUUAUGAUAGAAUACUAUAUUAAGUUAUACACCUUUUUGCUCAAUGGUUUAUUUUUAAUUUUAAGUUCCAAUCUUCUCCAUAUAUAUUCUAAGUUAUAUGAUCUAUUUAUUGUAGAAUUUAAAUUAAGCAUCAAACUUAUUUUAAGAAUAUUCCCCGUAAAUAAUUGAUUCUAACAAAACCACAAACCUUAAAAAUUUAUUCUGACAAAGAAAAAAUUUUGUCGGAAAAAAUAUGAUUACUUCCGACAACAACUAAUCACCCUCGAAAAUAUAAAAGUAUUACCGAGAGGACUUUUUCCCCUAAAAAAUAUAAAAAUAUUACCGAGAAAACUUUUUUCCCCUCAAAAAUACUAAAUCAAUUUCGUCAACAUGAGUAAACCUUCGGAAAUAACCAUUCUAUUUCCGAUAAGAACUUUACUCGUCGUUAAUACAACUAGCACCAAUUCUUCCCGCCAAACAAAAGUGCAUUUCAUGCGAAACUUGAGACUUUUUCCGAGGACAUUAUGUGCGUUGGUAAUAAAAACUUGUUUCAUGCCAUGUUACCGACGACCCAUAUUUUAUGGUCGCAAAAUGUGCUUUUUACGACGGUUUUUUUGGGCCCUUGGAAAAUCUUCGUCGGUAAUGACUAAUUUUUUUUUUGUAAUGGUAGUUUGUCAUACUAAUUAAUAUUUAAGAUAAAGUUUAUAGAUAUUUUUCUUUUAAAAAUAAAGUAUGUUUAGUAUUUCACCUUUAUUUGUUAAGAAAAUUAAAUUAAUGGCACAUCUAGUAUUAUACCCUUUUUUGUCAUUUCACACAGUUACAACUGUUUUACAUAAAAGUUUACCAACACUAUAAUAUUUUUUUUUUCCAAAAACACUUUUACAAAAAACAUUUACCAAACACUCUACUGCUUUAUUUCACAGCUAUUUAUUCUCACAGUACAGCAGAAGUAGUUUUUUUUUUCAAAGUACAGUAAUACCAAACCAGCCCUUAUAUUAGUGUCAUGUAAGCCAUUUCGUUACUAUGUAAAAUCAGUAUAACACUAAUUUAUCCUUAUUUUGAAAACUAUUGUUUAUGAUAAGGGGAUAACAAAGUAAAAGCAAAGAAAUGAUUGGUAUUUUCAGAGAGAGAUUAGCAAGCUAUCUUGUCACAU
rnacentral:lncRNA from 1 species